AUAACGGCGAUGAAGAGAAUAGUACAUGAGGAGCAAUCUCAGAGAGGAAUCCAUAUGGUGUGAGGAUUCUGUGCGCGAAUCGUGGAACCGGCCUCGGAGCUCUGUACAAGUGAAGUGCAGCGUAGAUCCAGCGUUAAGGGAGCUUGAGAGAGCAAUUUUUUUCUGGCAUACAGGAGUUGCUAAUUAGGGUGGUACCGCCGAAGUCCUUCGGUCCCUUUA
rnacentral:ncRNA from 1 species